rnacentral:rRNA from 1 species
CACUCCUGCGGGAGGCAGCAGUGGGGAAUUUUGGACAAUGGGCGAAAGCCUGAUCCAGCAAUGCCGCGUGAGUGAAGAAGGCCUUCGGGUUGUAAAGCUCUUUUGUCAGGGAAGAAACGGUGAAAGCUAAUAUCUUUUGCUAAUGACGGUACCUGAAGAAUAAGCACCGGCUAACUACGUGCCAGCAGCCGCGGUAAUACGUAGGGUGCAAGCGUUAAUCGGAAUUACUGGGCGUAAAGCGUGCGCAGGCGGUUUUGUAAGUCUGAUGUGAAAUCCCCGGGCUCAACCUGGGAAUUGCAUUGGAGACUGCAAGGCUAGAAUCUGGCAGAGGGGGGUAGAAUUCCACGUGUAGCAGUGAAAUGCGUAGAUAUGUGGAGGAACACCGAUGGCGAAGGCAGCCCCCUGGGUCAAGAUUGACGCUCAUGCACGAAAGCGUGGGGAGCAAACAGGAUUAGAUACCCCAGUAGUCCCAUGA